GAUGGUACUGAACAUGUAGUGGGUGAUGUUAGUAAUUCUACUCAGCAUAUCUCUUCCCUGGAAGCCCAAAUUGAAUCGGUCCCUAAUUUAGGGACUGAAGAUAUCGAUCAGAGGAAAACCAAACGAAGUAGGGAAGAAAUUCUAUCCGAUUCUUCUAAUUGCAAUGUAACCAAUACCCAUAAUAAUCCUAUUUAUCAAGCUGAGGAAAGUAUUGAUUAUGGUAAAAUUCCUAUAGAGAAUAUGAUGGAGUACAAAACCAGAAAUGGUGGGGGAAAUCGCUCGGAAGCAAUUGAUAGCUCCACAAUUGAUCUCUAGGGGACAAAUACACAGAGCCGCUAUGGGAAUCCUGCAAUUAUUCACCAGAAUCAUGCCAGUUGUAUGGUUGAGGGACAUGCUCUGGAUUAUUAACGGCUUCUUCUUCCAGCAUAUUUGACCAUUGUUCUUCUUGAGGUAAAACCGGUGUUUCGUCUUCCCCCGUUAUCCAGUCAAGCAUAUUUUCAUCCCUCGGUAGAGUAUGAACGUGGUGAACAUCAAUGUUAUGUCGCCUUGUUUUACCUUUAAUUUUUUGUUGCUCCAACUUCAAAUUGUAAUGGACAUACAUCAGAUCAUUUAUUCUCGAUGAGAGCAAACGAUUGCGUAGUUUGGUGUG